rnacentral:tRNA from 1 species
UAGGAUAUAGUAUGGGGGUAGUACAUAGAAUUUUGAAUUCUGGAGUGUAGGUUCAAUUCCUGCUGUCCUAG